GGUUCAUUCUGGCUUUCAGAUUAAGGCACCUUUGGCGGGAUGCUUUACAUGCAAGUCGAACGGCAGCACCGGACUUCGGUCUGGUGGCGAGUGGCGAACGGGUGAGUAAUGUAUCGGAACGUGCCUAGUAGCGGGGGAUAACUACGCGAAAGCGUAGCUAAUACCACGCCACGCCCUUCGGGGAAAGCAGGGGACCUUCAGGCCUCGCACUAAUGCUUGACCGUAUCGGAUUAGUAGCUAGUUGGUGGGGUAACGGCUCACCAAGGCGACAGUCCGUAGCUGGUUUGAGAGGACGACCAGCCACACUGGGGUUUGAGACGGCCCAGACUCCUACGGGAGGCAGCAGUGGGGAAUUUUGGACAAUGGGGAAACCUGAUCCAGCCAUCCGCGUGUGCGAUGAAGACGCUGGUUGUAAAGCACUUUUGGCAGAAAAGAAAACGGCACGGGAUAAUACCCGAUACAUGACGAGCACCUGCAGAAUAAGCACCAGCCUUUACGUGCCGUAGCCGCGGCCACGUAGGGUGCAAGCGUUAAUCGGAGUUACUGGGCGUAAAGCGAUGCGCAGGCGGUUCGGAAAGAAAGAUGUGAAAUCCAGAGCUUAACUUUGGAACUGCAUUUUUAACUACCGAGCUAGAGUGUCAGAGGGAGGUGGGAAUUCCGCGUGUCAUGAUGAAAUGCGUAGAUAUGCGGAGGAGGAACACCAGUGGCGAAGGCAGCCUCCUGGGAUAACACGGCGCUCAUGCACGAAAGCGUGGGGAGCAAACAGGAUUAGAUACCCUGGUAGUCCACGCCUAUUUGAUGUCAACUAGCGUGGGGCCUUCGGGCCUUGGUAACAGCUAACGCGUGAAGAUUGACGCCGCAAAUUACAGGUGUAAAGAUUAGAAACUCAAAGGAAUUGGCGGGGACCCGCACAAGCGGUGGAUGAUGUGGAUUAAUUCGAUGCAACGCGAAAAACCUUACCUACCCUUGACAUGUCUGGAAUCCCGAAGAGAUUUGGGAGUGCUCGCAAGAGAGAACCGGAACACAGGUGCUGCAUGGCUGUCGUCAGCUCGUGUCGUGAGAUGUUGGGUUAAGUCCCGCAACGAGCGCAACCCUUGUCAUUAGUUGCUACGAAAGGGGCACUCACAAUGAGACUGCCGGUGAUGACAAACCGGAGGAAGGUGGGGAUGACGUCAAGUCCUCAUGGCCCGCUAUGGGUGGGGGCUUCACACGUCAUACGACAAUGGUCGGGACAGAGGGUCGCCAACCCGCGAGGGGAGCCAAUCCCAGAACCCGAUCGUAGUCGGAUCGCAGUCUGCAACUCGACUGCGUGAAGUCGGAAUCGCUGGUAAUCGCGGGAUCCAGCAUGUCGCGGUGAAUACGUUCCCGGGUCUUGUACACACCGCCCGUCACCAUGGGAGUGGGUUUUUGCAGAAGUAGUUAGCCUAACCGUAAGGAGGGCGAUUACCACGGUAGGAUUCAUGACUGGGGGUGAAGUCGUAACAAGGUAA
rnacentral:rRNA from 1 species